GACGAACGCUGGCGGCGUGCUUAACACAUGCAAGUCGAGCGGUAAGGCCCUUUCGGGGGUACACGAGCGGCGAACGGGUGAGUAACACGUGGGUGACCUGCCUUUAGCUCUGGGAUAAGCCUGGGAAACCGGGUCUAAUACCGGAUAUGACUCCGCGGCGCAUGUUGUGGGGUGGAAAGCCUUGUGCGGCUGGAGAUGGGCCCGCGGCCUAUCAGCUUGUUGGUGGGGUGAUGGCCUACCAAGGCGACGACGGGUAGCCGGCCUGAGAGGGCGACCGGCCACACUGGGACUGAGACACGGCCCAGACUCCUACGGGAGGGCAGCAGUGGGGAAUCUUGCGCAAUGGGCGAAAGCCUGACGCAGCGACGCCGCGUGAGGGAUGACGGCCU
rnacentral:rRNA from 1 species